UGACUUCUUAUCGCGGGCCCUACCCGUAGC
rnacentral:sRNA from 1 species